rnacentral:rRNA from 1 species
GGAAGGUCCAGGCGUUAUCCGGAUUUAUUGGGUUUAAAGGGAGCGUAGGCGGAUUAUUAAGUCAGUGGUGAAAGACGGUGGCUCAACCAUCGUUAGCCAUUGAAACUGGUAGUCUUGAGUGCAGACAGGGAUGCUGGAGCUCGUGGUGUAGCGGUGAAAUGCUUAGAUAUCACGAUGAACUCCGAUCGCGAAGGCAGGUGUCCGGGCUGCAACUGACGCUGAGGCUCGAAAGUGUGGGGGUAUCAAACAGGAUUAGAUACCCUGGUAGUCCACACAGUAAACGAUGUAUACUCGCGGUUUGCGAUAGACAGUAAGCCGCCAAGCGAAAGCAUUAAGUAUACCACCUGGGAGUACGCCGGCAACGGUG